rnacentral:rRNA from 1 species
UACGUAGGAGGCGAGCGUUGUCCGGAGUUACUGGGCGUAAAGGGUGCGUAGGCGGCCGCGCGCGUGGGGGGUGAAAUCUCUCGGCUUACCCGGGAGGGGGCUUUCCAGACGGCGUGGCUUGAGGGACGGAGAGGGAUGCAGAAUUCCAGGUGUAGCGGUGAAAUGCGUAGAUAUCUGGAGGAAUACCGGUGGCGAAGGCGGCAUCCUGGACCGACAUUGACGCUGAGGAGCGAAAGCCAGGGGAGCAAACGGG